rnacentral:tRNA from 1 species
GCAGUGGCAGUUCAGUGGUAGAAUUCUCACCUUUCGUGCAGGAGAUCAGGGUUCGAUCCCCAGCUAAUGCA